rnacentral:tRNA from 1 species
AGCGGCUUGGCCGAGCGGUCGAAGGCAGCGGUUUGCAAGUCCGCAUGCGAAAAGCACACGUCGGUUCGAAUCCGACAGCCGCUUCCA